rnacentral:lncRNA from 1 species
UCUGUGGGAGGGACAUUGUCUGAUGACCAUUAUGUAUCUUAACAUCCUAUCCUGGCUGCGCGCCCCAGGUUUCUCAUAGAACCUACUCUGGCUUCUAUCUCAGCUUGCUCACCACUUCAUUGGGAAUAUGGUAUUAACCAAAAGAUGAUUUCUACAGGCUUCUGCCGCUCUAUCUACCGCAUGACAGUAUUUGCCCUCUGUGCCCUGCCUUCUCACACAAUGUCCCGAUGAGCUGUCUACCGGAAGCCAGACCCCACUCUUCUGCUUCUAACCAUUCUCCCUUCCUCUCACACUGAUUCAGUUUUAGUUCUAUACCAGCUUAGUGCCAUUUUCAUAUAAACAUAUUAAUUAAUAUUCACCUAUGCUAAUUAAUCCUUGGCCUGGUCCCAUUUCUCUCGAGCAACUGCCCAUACCUUCUUCCUGAUGAUUACUGCAAGUUUCUCAACAGAGAUGUCAUUACCUAGCAAGACCUCCCACCCCACCUCUCCAUGGAAACUGCUCCUACCAAUGCCACUUCAUCCAGGGGUUGCUGUUUAGGCUGCAUCCUGCUCGGUCCAUCAGCAAUCCUUGACUUCUAGGGGUGUCAUUCUUCCGUUUGACCACAUGUAACAGUCUGCUUUCCCUACCACACAGAUAAUGAUUUAUUUAUUUAUUAUUCAUCUCUCCUAUGAGCUCCCCUACUCUUAACCUGACUGGGAUCCCUGGGGCUCACUCUGUGGUUGUCUUCUCUGUUGACCUCACCUAGUUGGGAAAUAUCAGCUGUAUACUCAUGAUGUCCUGAAUCAGAGGCGUGGAUACCUUACAGCCUGGACACACCUGCACCUAUGUGUUCAGAAGCUUGAAAGCUUCCUGCAUUGAUGAAGUUUGGAUGGACUGCUCAGACGCACUGACCCAGGAAGGAGAGGAGCUGGCUGUGGCAGGCGCUGGAGGCCAGAACUGGAGCGUGAAAACCAUGCUCACGGUAUCAACUGCUUACACCUCUUUCCUUGUUUCAUUUCUUCAGUCUCCACUGUGACAUCAAGGGAGGACUGAGGAAGCAGGGACAAGUGGCCCUCAUUGAGUCCCCUCCCUGGUUUAGGCAGGCUCUCCACUAAUAUGCCCGUUGGUCUUUCUCCUCGCCUCUUGCAUAUACAGUCAGCCAGACCCCACCCAAAUCUACUAAAAAUCCCCCACCUCACUUUGGGAGGGGGGUCUCCUCCCAGCCAGUCUUUCCUGGCCACUUUCUGACUUUUUUCCUUCUUCUC